GAUCUCUUGGUUCUGGCAUCGAUGAAGAACGCAGCAAAAUGCGAUAAGUAAUGUGAAUUGCAGAAUUCAGUGAAUCAUCGAAUCUUUGAACGCACAUUGCGCCCGCCAGUAUUCUGGCGGGCAUGCCUGUUCGAGCGUCAUUUCAACCCUCAAGCACAGCUUGGUGUUGGGACUCGCGUUAAUUCGCGUUCCUCAAAUUGAUUGGCGGUCACGUCGAGCUUCCAUAGCGUAGUAGUAAAACCCUCGUUACUGGUAAUCGUCGCGGCCACGCCGUUAAACCCCAACUUCUGAAUGUUGACCUCGGAUCAGGUAGGAAUACCCGCUGAACUUAAGCAUAUCAAUAAGCGGAGGAAAUCG
rnacentral:rRNA from 1 species